UACUUGGUUGAUCCUGCCAAGGAAGCACACUUAGGUCAUAGAUUAAGCCAUGCAAGUGUUAGUUCAGGUAACGAAACUGCGAAUAGCUCAUUAAUACGCUCAGAAUCUAUUUGGCGGCGACCAACAGGUCUUAAAUGGAUAGCAGCAGCAACUCUGGUGCUAAUACAUGCGAUUGUUUCUCCAGAUGUGAAUUAUGGAGGAAAAGUUGACCUCAUCAGAGGCACGCCAUUCGACUGAGUGACCUAUCAGCUUGUACUUAGGGUCUUUACCUAGGUAGGCUAUCACGGGUAACGGGCGGUUACCGUCGGACUGCCGGAGAAGGCGCCUGAGAGAUAGCGACUAUAUCCACGGGUAGCAGCAGGCGCGAAACUUUCCCACUCGAGACUUUCGGAGGAGGUAAUGACCAGUUCCAUUGGUGCCUUUUGGUACUGUGGAUAGGGGUACGGUUUUCCACCGUACCGAAACCUAGCAGAGGGCCAGUCUGGUGCCAGCAGCUGCGGUAAUUCCAGCUCUGCGAGUUUGCUCCCAUAUUGUUGCAGUUAAAACGCCCGUAGUCUGAAUUGGCCAGCAAUGGUCGUACGUAUUUUUACGUUCACUGUGAACAAAUCAGGACGCUUAGAGUAUGGCCACAUGAAUGACUCAGCGCAGUAUGAAGUCUUUGUUUUCUUCCGAAAACAAGCUCAAUGAGAGCCAUCGGGGGUAGAUCUAUCUCAUGACGAGUGGUGGAAUACUUUGACUCAUGAGAGAGAAGCUGAGGCGAAGGCGUCUACCUAGAGGGUUUCUGUCGAUCAAGGGCGAGAGUAGGAGUAUCCAACAAGAUUAGAGACCCUGGUAGUUCCUACCUUAAACGAUGCCGACAGGAGUUUGUCAUUUGUUAAUGGCAGAAUCUUUGGAGAAA
rnacentral:ncRNA from 1 species